GAUCAGGUGUCUUAGCUCGCUUUGUUGUGGAGUGGGAAUCGGGUAAAGAAGGUUGCACAAUGCAUGUGUCUCCUGAUCAACUUUGGCCUCAUACCAAGGUAUUUUUAGCUUUUGGAUUUGUGCAUAAGAUUACUACCUUUGAGAAGACAGCUGAAUUUCAGUCAGGGAUAUAUAUAUAUUGAAUGGGGACUGAUGCUAUUGAAGUAGGGGAGACUCCAUUUGACUCCUAUCCUAGUUCCUUUGAGGUACUAUUUUCGACUUCCUUUCACUUUUUUUCUGUUCUAACUUUGAAUCUAUUGUAUAAUUUGAUCGUUAUCGGGAAUAAUUACAUGCAUUUGUUUGUGUUUUUUCUUUGCUUAAGCAAGUGUUAAAAGCCUUGGAAAUUCGAUUUGUGCCCUACAAGCUUUAAGUUAUAAUGUUUUUGAGUUUAGAUGUUUAGGUAA